rfam:Candidatus Magasanikbacteria bacterium RIFOXYB1_FTLL_40_15 rifoxyb1_full_scaffold_1318, whole genome shotgun sequence.
GUAUAUAAACAAAUCAAACCGCAGACAGUAGCUGGGUUUUAACCCUUAAUAUGCUACCGAGGUAAUCCUAUUUUUUCUUAGUUCACUUAGUUUUCUAAGUUUACCAAGUCAAAUCUAAGGUCGAGGAUAAACCGUAAGUCUGUGGUGAGAAACCACAGUUUUUUAAUGGAAAGU